GACGAACGCUGGCGGCGUGCUUAACACAUGCAAGUCGAGCGGUAAGGCCCUUUCGGGGGUACACGAGCGGCGAACGGGUGAGUAACACGUGGGUGACCUGCCCUCAGCUCUGGGAUAAGCCUGGGAAACUGGGUCUAAUACUGGAUAUGACUCCACGGUGCAUGUCGUGGGGUGGAAAGCCUUGUGCGGCUGAGGAUGGGCCCGCGGCCUAUCAGCUUGUUGGUGGGGUGANGGCCUACCAAGGCGACGACGGGUAGCCGGCCUGAGAGGGCGACCGGCCACACUGGGACUGAGACACGGCCCAGACUCCUACGGGAGGCAGCAGUGGGGAAUAUUGGACAAUGGGCGCAAGCCUGAUCCAGCGAUGCCGCGUGAGUGAAGAAGGCCUU
rnacentral:rRNA from 1 species